CACGGGGUUGCGAGCGUUGUCCGGAAUUACUAGGCGUAAAGGGCAGGCGGGCGGAUCCAUAAGUUUAUCGUUUAAGGCGUCGGCUUAACCGGCGUAGGGCGGUAUAUACUGUGGAUCUGGAAUGCGGUUGGGGAAGACAGAAUUCCUGGUGUAGCGGUGGAAUGCGCAGAGAUCAGGAGGAAUACCGAAGGCGAAGGCAGUCUUCCAAGCCGUUAUUGACGCUCAACUGCGAAGGUGUGGGUAUCAAACAGGAUUAGAUACCCGCGUAGUCCCUGAG
rnacentral:rRNA from 1 species